AGCUCAGACCCUCUCAAGGCUACUGUGCUCCAAGUAUGUGGCAGUUCAUUUCAAGCUUGAUGGCACACUCUUUGCAGAGCAGUUGCCAAGGAACGAGGUAAUCUUGUGACAGAAAUACUGCCUGAUGCUGUCAGUUUGAUGGUCGAAAAGGUUUUAGGUGGUAUCAAAUUUUAUUACUAGCAUUCCUGGUCUCCAUGAAAGAACCACAUAAGAAGACAAGUUAUGUCAAAGGACAAAACCACAGACCUAGAUGGGCACCGUGCAUACAGCAGACACUUGGUUUCCUUUUGAUAUUGACUCAAACAGGGACUGGAUUAAAAAAAGAAGAAAAUAACAACAAGACCACAGACUUAAGCUGAUCAGUGGUCUAACACUGGCAAGAUUACUUUUGUUGAUAAAUUGAUUUCUUGGGAAAUCCUGGGAAAGUUCCUGGACGUGACCCUGUGGUCCUACCACCACUAGCUACCUGUGACCUUGGGUGAGUCAGCAAGUGGAUGCAAAGGGAACACACACAGCACGGUGCCACAGCGGGCACCACCUGCCCCCCGCCGUCACAGAUGGCUUGCAAAUAAGCUACUCACGUACUUCCUGAGAUCUGCUGCACCCAAACACACCAAGCUCAGAGAGGCUUUUGAGGCAGACAAGGGCAGGGAGAGAGGAUGGUUCUUCUCGCAUGGGUAUUUAAGGAGUGUAGUGUCAUGCGUGAGUGACUUUUUGGUUAGUAAGUUCUGCUGAUUACAUGAAGCAAUGGGAUAACUAUCACGGCCAAAAGAGUAUUCCUACUGCAGGCUCAGUAAGACUUUCUAAUGAUAUUGAAGUAGUAGUUCCCUGAAAAGAGCUACUAUGAUCACAUGGCUUGGUUAACUGUUUCUUACAAGUCUGAGCAUGAAUUUAACACACACGAACUAUACACUGACAAAGACAGGAUGCUCCUGAAAUAAAAUCACAGCAUCUUAUUGCAUAUACUACAUCAUCCAAGGUCAAAACCCUUUCAUAGAGACAUUUAAAACUAUAACCAAGUAAAAGAGAAAAUAGAUGCAAAUUUGCUUUUACAAAAUUUGAAAAUCAACCAAAAGAGUAAGGCACAAGAUGCAGUCAGCUACAAAGCACUUCAGAGAACAGCGCUUUGCUCUCAGGUCUGGGACCCACCCCCUGGGCAAGGCCGCCUGGCAGCAGGCAGGAACCAAACCCCUGCCACCUCCACUCACUCCCAGGGUUCCUCUUUGCAGGAUGGUGGGGAGCGCAGGAUACUUGGAUGGUUUACAGUGAUGAUGAGUUGGAGUCUUUAAACUCAAUGGUGUCCUAGAUACUCAGUUAGGAUGAUAGUGAUCCCAUCCAUCCCGUGGUUGGUCACUGAGCUGCGUACGAAGCUGGCCUAGAAUCAGACCCCGCAUCCAUAGGGAGAAAUCAUCACCCUCUACCGGGAUCUGGAUUUGUUUUCAGGAUCUAUUCUCAUGAAGGAGACUUGAGAAGCUGAGAAACUCCAGAAGAAUUUAAGUUUCAAAGUCAGAUGAGUUUGCUACUCAACCUUCAUCAUGGUUGUAGCUUUCGCUCCCAGAAUACAAGGCCAGAGAGGCACCAACCAGGAGGCAAACUUCACCUUCAAGGCCAGGCAACGCCUGGCUACAGUUAGACCCCGCAGCAGGGUUAAAGAAGGCUACAGUUAGACCCCGCAGCAGGGUUAAAGAAGGCUACAGUUAGACCCCGCAGCAGGGUUAGAGAAGUCUCUCCAGCAAGGCUGGGAGUUCAGCUUCCAAUAGAUCUAGAGGGCCAGGAGAAAAAGCAUGCUGAGUGCCUGGCGGCAUCUAGUGGUCACUAGUGGUCACUGCCAGUCAUCAGCUUUCCUCCAAUAAACCAGUUAUCAUGAGAAUAUAAAACAAUCAGGAAGAAAAAAAAGUGUAGCUUUUUUUUUUUUUUUUUUUUUUUUUGAGACAAGAGUUUCGCUCUGUUGCCCAGGAUAGAGUGCAGUGGCAGUGAUCUUGGCUCACUGUAAGCUCCACCU
rnacentral:lncRNA from 10 species